UACAGGGGGUGCAAACGUUGCUCGGAAUCAUUGGGCGUAAAGAGCGUGUAGGCGGCCAGAUAAGUCCGCUGUGAAAUCUCGAGGCUCAACUUCGAGCUGUCGGUGGAAACUGUCUGGCUAGAGUCCGGAAGAGGAGACUGGAAUUCAUGGUGUAGCAGUGAAAUGCGUAGAGAUCAUGAGGAAGACCAGUGGCGAAGGCGGGUCUCUGGACAGUUCCUGACACUGAGACACGAAGGCCAGGGGAGCAAACGGG
rnacentral:rRNA from 1 species